ACUAUAUUGAAUUGCAAUCAAAUAGACUAUAUUGAAAUAUUUCUUUAUCACUUAUACUUAAAGCAAUACGAAAUUAUAAGGUUUUUAUGAUUAGCUUAUCAUCAAUAAAAUUGUUUAUAAAUUUGGUAUCGUUAAAAAUAAUUUUUAUCAAAGAUCGACAUAUUGACUCUAAAAUGAUAAGCGACUUGGCCAUGGGCCAAGUCGCUUAUUACUUUAGAGUCUCAGGGUUCAAUUCCAGGUCCCACAACAAUAGUUUUUCAGAAAUCCGAAUCCAGCGUCGAACUGCAUCCUUUAAUAUUCCAAUUGAUCCCAUUAUGGAUUUUUUCGCAUAUUUUAUGCCCCUUUCCAAUCAAGGAGAUUACUAAGGGGCGGGGCCAGUUCCAACCAUGGCCGCACCCG
rnacentral:lncRNA from 1 species